UACGUAGGGUGCAAGCGUUAAUCGGAAUUACUGGGCGUAAAGCGCGCGUAGGCGGUCUGAAAAGUCAGAUGUGAAAGCCCCGGGCUCAACUUGGGAACUGCAUUUGAUACUGUCAGACUAGAGUACAGAAGAGGUGACUGGAAUUCCCAGUGUAGCGGUGAAAUGCGUAGAUAUUGGGAGGAACACCAGAUGCGAAGGCGGGUCACUGGGCUGAUACUGACGCUGAAGUGCGAAAGCCAGGGGAGCGAACGGG
rnacentral:rRNA from 1 species